rnacentral:sRNA from 1 species
CCACCACCACCACCACCAAAGCCUUCCAUCAGCUUUGUUUUGCAAGGCAGAAACCGAGGCACAGACGGGCUAAGGGCUUCCCAAGUCAUACAGCACCCCAUUGGUAGGACUACCCCCGCCAUCCAAGGCCCUGGCCUUUGGCCUGCUAGACUCACCUGGGCCUCAUCUAGUGGGGAAGACUUAGCCAAGAGCUGGGUAGAAGAGGAAUGAGUAAGGGAGCAGAGGCUGUGCCAUCAGGCUCCAUUUUCACAGAACAGGCUGAGUAAUGGCCCCCAUAGGUAAAUAGCUUGGUAGCCAUAGUGCAGAGCUACUGCCUCUGGUCCCAAUCUAUGCCCUGCCAAGCCCCAUUUCUGCAGGGAUAUCAUUGCUCAUCUUAAAGUGGUAGGCCAGACCCUGGCAGUGGUGAUGGUGGUGGUGGAAGUGGUGGUGGUGGUGGCAGCUGUGGUGGGGAGGCUCUAACAUCCUGAAAGCCAUCUACAGAGGACAUUGAAGACGGGGUGGGACUAAAGCUCAUGUCCACUGUGGUGGCAGAUCCUCUGGGCAUGUAAGCCUCUGUUGCUUUUGUAGGCCCAGAGCCCUUCUCCUUACACUCCCUGUGACUGGAGUGAAGGAGUGGGUAGUUGGCCUGCAGCUUGGGCGUGGCUUGCUGGGUGGAGGUGGCCAGGCUCAGGGCUGCCUGGGCUAUGACACUUCUGUGAACCUCACUCCCUCUGGGUACCUAUUAGCAUGCUACUCCAAGGGGGGCUGGUAAACGUUAACUGGCCUUCCGGCCUUUAGCAGCCAGGGGGUCAGGGAAAGGUCACUGAAACCUGCAGGAUUGAUAGUCUAGGCAUCAGUCUCUACCCAGUUCUUCCAGGGUGAGAACGAACCACCGGGAGCCCAUUUCCACAGAAAUCCUUUUCAGGGGUCUCUUUACUAUGGGCCCGGUCUUCUCCAGCCUCUAAGUCCACAUCUGGGGUUGGGAAGGUGUGUAGCGAGAGCCAGUGGGCAGACUCUGAAUAGAUGGCAGGCCUUGGAAUUUGGGGGCCUGGCCAGGUGUGACCCCAGUGCCUGACCUCUGUGGCCUGGAGGGUAAAGAGGUGGGAGGUGGGGGUUGGGAGGAGGUUACUGGCUAACAGUUACCAGGACCUUUGAAGCUAUAAAUGCUUCCCCGGGCCCCUGCUGGGAUGGAUGGGGUCAGAGUUCACUGGUUGUCUGGCUCUCCAAGUGGGCUGGAAAUCUUGCAGGCAGAUGGAGUAGGGACCCAUGGAAUGGGACAUUCCCAGAGGUGGAAGGCUCAUGGGAAAUGUUAUUUUUGGUGCUCUGGCUUGGCUCAGGCCCAACGACUUGGAGGCCUUGGGAGGGGCUGAUAGAAGUUGUUUUUGUCACAUACUCACUCGUCUCUCGGGUAUGUUUCCCAAGUUGUGUUUGGUCACACCAAGAUCGGCUUCUGAAUGAUGGAGACCUUGCAGUCGGCCUCUGCCUGACCUGGUAGGUUUUUUUUAGCUGACCUGUCGUGGACUGCUCAAAGUUUCUGGUCCCACUCAAUGCUCUUUCUUGCCUGGUACCCCGCCCUCCAAUCCCCGUCUUAUUUCUUCUGCGUGCCUGGGCCUUCCCCUUUCAGUGCGAACCCUGUUUACCCGGUUACGUCACCUCUUUCAGGAAGCUUUCUUGGAGUGGAUUCUGACACUGCUCAUGCAUUAACUCUCUCAGCUAAGACUGAAGACUAUGGGGCCGUGCCCGUUCUUCUGGGAAUGUGUCACUUCACAUAAAGGCAGUCCCGAGUCCUUCCUUCCAGAAGCUUAUCUUCCCCAAGACAGUAGUAGCUGUCAUUUAGAUAGCUCUCAGCUUGAAAAAGUUUUGUGUACCUGCAGACCACCUCUACGAGGUGGGAACAAACUCCACAGUACACGUGAUGGUCCUUUAUUCUGAUUUGGCCACAGAUCCAUGAGAGAGGUAAUAUUUCCCUCCUUUUACCAAUGGGGGAAAAAGUCAAGACUGACAGAGGUCAAGACCACAGAGCCAGUAAGCAGUGGUGUGAAGUUGGUGAACCCCGGCCUGCCCAAGUACAAGGCAAGGAGGAAGAACACGGUCGGGUCUCCUGAUUCAUUGUGUCUCAAUGGGUCCAGUAGACUGGAUAACGGGGUACAUAUGAAAAAAACGGGGAGCAAGAGGAGUCAACAUUCAGGCCUUCAGCACCCGAAUGGACUAAGCUUACUGAAGUCACCGGCAGGUAACUUGAUCAACGGCUGAGACAGCGCCCAUGGUGGGAAUUAAGCAGUGCCUGAGCCGCAGAGGCGUGGGGAAAUGACCUUGAGUGACUGUGGCAUGCGGGCAGCCUUGUUUCACAUGAGGACAUCGCCUGCUCUGCAUCUGCCUUGCACACUGAAGGCUGUGUGCGUCCAGUGUCUGCAGGGUCGAUGGUGACAUUUCUCUUCCAGCCUCUUGCUCCAGAGGCGGGAGCCAUGUGUCAACAGCCAGGCCUCAGGCAGAACGGCAGAACUCCUGGUCCUGCUCUGGCUGACUGGUGACAGAUAGGGCAGCUUACAGUAGAGAAGGGAGUGGGUGGCGUUGCUCUCCGGUGUUUCCAGCCCUCCACCACCCUAGCUGCAAAAGACCAUCCCAGCAAAUGAUCUGAUCUGUUCUGAGGGUCAAGGGUCACAGUUGAGAGACGCACGGCCAGACAGGUGUCUAGGAGCCAUAUGCUGACACCAGCCAGUUCCAGAAGGUGAUACUGCUCUGUCCAGGAGCCAGUGGCACAGGAGAAACUUGAGGUCUUUUGGUUUGAUGAGCAUUGUUAGCUCUGACUUCAGAUAAGCAGAGCAAACAAGCCACAGUCCAAGUGGGAACUGGUUCUGCCCCUUUGUUUUGCUUUUCUAAGUCAUCAAAGCCAAGUUUCUCAAGCCUGAAUACCUCUGCUUUCUGAUGGUCCCAUUGUGUUUUUAUUGUGCUUCUGACAAGUGCUAACAGACCACUUUCAAAGUGUGUUGAUGUUUCGGUUGUUUUUGAAUGGCCCUUCUGUUUUCCUGCAUCUGGGCAGCAUUAGCCUCUGGCCCCAGGGAACGACUGGGUUCCUAUAAAAAGUGUACCAGGUCCCCUUAUGUGGAAAAACUGGCCAGGACAAGAUCAGACACCCAUCUGGGCAGGAACAUACAGCACAAAUGUGAACACCAUUCACCAGCUGCAGAAGCCAGGUCAGGCUGGGAAGAGGCCAGUGAGCCUUGCCAAAUGGACUGUGGGUGUUCUCUUUCUGUGUGUGGACACAUUGUGAUCUUCCUGAGGGAGGAUACCAAUAAGAAGAGUGCCUGGCACUAGGCAAUGCCACCAAAUGUUUGUUGUCCCUCUGUCCUCUUAGCUCAAGUUGCUUGUCAAUUACCAACAUAAGAGGCUCCUGAGAACUGGCCACACAGGGACCAGAGUUGGGACACACAGGACAGUCUAGAGUUCAGAGGGUUUACUAGGAGAGAGAGGCAGACCUUAUCUGUUUGAUAUCUGAGCUUUCUUGAGGGAUCUUUUGCUCUAUUGCUUGAAGGGCUAAAGCAGGGAGCGGGUAGGGCAGGGUGGGCAUGUUUCCUCCAGAUUCUAUCUAGGGGUUGUAUGGCUGGCUCGUUCCUUUGUGCUUCUGUUGUGUGUCCUGCCUUCCCUUCACCAUAACACUUUAGGCUAAGCAAAGUCAGGUUCAAAAUGGCUGCCUCCAGUGGAAGAGUCUUUGGGUAUGGACGAGGCUUCCAGGAAGUGAGCCACACGUAUCAUCUCGCUCAUUUAAUGCUAUCCGCAGACUCUCUCGCUUGUCCGAAGGCUAUCUUCAUUUUUUUUUUUCUUUUAAGCUGGCUGAGUUUCCCUUUAGCUCCAACCUCACCAGCUCAUGAACUGUCUGUCCUCCCUUGAGUUUCCAGAGUUGCAGGGCUCUCCCCUAACUGACUUCUAGUCUACUCUGGGACUCAUGUUAACGAGAUCCCAUCUUUAUUCCUUUACCCCGAUGCAUCAAUCCCUGCUCCCAUCCCCACCCCCUGUUGAAUUUAUACUAGGAGUCAGAGGAGCUGAGACUGGCUGGUGCUAAGCGAUCUGGUGCUACUGUUAGAUAAGCAGGUCGCCCUGAUGAGGGAAACACUAGCGGUUCUAAAACAGGACUAUGGAGUCUCUUACACCUGCAGUAGAUAUUUAUAUCUAUAAACACAUCGGGGUGGGCAGGGAUUGCCCUGUCUGUGUUCAUAAGGCCUUAGACCUCUUGAGUCUCCCUUCAUCUAUGGGAGGCCCUCCCUGGCUUUUGCUUCAAAAUGUAAAUUAUUGCAUCAGUCAGCUUUCUGUUACUGUAACAAAUAUCUGGACGAUCAACAUAUGAAGAGAAAAGAUUCACUUCUGUGCCUAGUUUUGGUCAUAGACUAAAAACCUACGGAGGACAGGCAACGCAGUAGCCAGCACUUGGACCUCGACUUACUUAGCCUCCCAAUUUCCACUAUGGCAAGAAUUUUGUUGGCCCCUGUUCCUUCAAGAACAAGAAAACAAAUGUAGACAGCUCUAGAGCCUGACAGGCUGAGAUGGUGGGUCACAGAGAAGUGGAACAUGGCAUCCAUGAAGCAAGAGUAUCCUCAGGAGGGUAUUUCUUGAGUCUCUGGAUGGGCCUGGUAGAGAACCGUGUGGUCUUAUGUGUGUAUAUGCUUGUGAACACCUGUCACUUUGAGAAAUUUCCAACUCUAUGUAGCAGUUUCCUUCUCACCAGGGUCUCUCCUUGUCUGAAACUUUAAUUUUAUAGCUGUGGCUGUUAAUGCAUCAUGGGUACCACCGUCAAUAAAUAUUUAUUGAGCUUUCA